rnacentral:rRNA from 1 species
AUUGAACGCUGGCGGCAUGCCUUACACAUGCAAGUCGAACGGUAACGGGCCUUCGGGUGCCGACGAGUGGCGAACGGGUGAGUAAUGCAUCGGAACGUACCUUUCAGUGGGGGAGUAACGUAGCGAAAGUUACGCUAAUACCGCAUAUUCUGUGAGCAGGAAAGCAGGGGAUCGCAAGACCUUGCGCUGAUUGAGCGGCCGAUGUCAGAUUAGCUAGUUGGUGAGGUAAAGGCUCACCAAGGCGACGAUCUGUAGCGGGUCUGAGAGGAUGAUCCGCCACACUGGAACUGAGAC